rnacentral:rRNA from 1 species
UACGAAGGGUGCAAGCGUUACUCGGAAUUACUGGGCGUAAAGCGUGCGUAGGGGGUUCGUUAAGUCUGAUGUGAAAGCCCUGGGCUCAACCUGGGAACUGCAUUGGAUACUGGCGAUCUGGAGUGCGGUAGAGGGUGGCGGAAUUCCCGGUGUAGCAGUGAAAUGCGUAGAUAUCGGGAGGAACAUCCGUGGCGAAGGCGGCCACCUGGACCAGCACUGACACUGAGGCACGAAAGCGUGGGGAGCAAACAGG